ensembl:lncRNA
CUGUUUCAGAUAAACAAAACCAUAAUAUCUUUACAGACAUUGUUCAUUAAAACCGUCAUAUCUCAUGCAGGAGUAGCAUGUUUUUGACAGUUUUCUGACGAGUGCAUCUAUGAAUUACGGUCGGUCACCCCCUAGCGUCUCUCUUCCCCGCGAAUUUACGGUGACAAGGGUCGGAGCGACCCUUGCUCAGCUUCCCACCUAUUGAACAAGUUCAUUCAUAGAACAAGGAUGACACCCAGCGGUCACUCAACACCGAUUUCCUUCACGGACACCUUUAUAAAUUUGACGCGUUCAAACGAUCACUUGAACCAGAAAACUUUCUCGGACGGCUCUCCAAGACAAUGGAUAAAAGUGAGUAUUUUAUCAUGUCAUGUUAUCUGAUGGUAGUGAUAUUUAAAUACUAUUAAUUGAUCAAAGUAUGUUAUGCUAUUUUUACAGUCUACGAUGUUAUAGCGUUUUUUUAAACCAUAUUACAUUUCAUUCCUGUAAUUUUCUUCAAGUUAUGCUGUUUUAUUUCAACUGCUGAUAGAGAUAUUUUAACACUAUAUUCAUAAAGUAUGUGUUAUUUGAAUUAAUAUCGACGCAUCUAUCGUCCCAAUCACCGCCAGACUGUUUGUAUGAAAAACACACUUUUAUUUUGAAAAGACGGCGACAUCCUGUUGAAAAUACUUUCAUUUUGAAAAUAUGACGACAUCCUGUUGAAAAUACUUUUAUUUUGAAAAGACGAGGAUAUCCUGUUGAAAAUACUUUUAUUUUGAAAAGACGAGGAUAUCCUGUCGCUUAGCUUUUGUGCUUCAGUUCAGUUCGCUAUGUAUAGGAUUUCAGAAAACCAAUUCUGUGUCCAUUAAAUCGACGUUUUACCACCGCGUUAUCCGUUCGUCAUCUAUGAACACGAUUUUCCCGGUUGCUAACUGCUCUCGGUGAAACGGAUAUGAUGGUGAAAUGGCUCCCUCCGGUUCAAAUAUUGAGCAGCAAGCCUUUGACGGUAUUAAUACAUCGCUCGUGAUUGAUCCAGACAGCGCAGCCGCUGGUAAAACAAGAUCCAUCUCCAACAUUUUUUAUGAGAAAUCAAAAUUUUAGAGAGACUCUAUUUUAAAUGGUAAUAUAUGCCAUGAUAGUAACAUAUUACCGAAACAAAUAAUUUAUCAUACAUUUAAACAUGUAUUCAACACUUAUUUAUUAAGCUCAUUGAUCUUAUAAAACACUAUUCACUUAUUUUAAAGAAGUUAAUUAAUAUAUUGUAAUUACAUAUAUAACACACUGUAUUAAAUAAACAUUUAAUAUAGUUUUAGGUCAUAAUAAAUACGGCUUACAUUUUUCUGUGCAUAAUGAUGUCCAUUCCGUGAAUGAAAUGUUUCCAAUAAAACGCAUUUAGUAUAAGUUGAAAUAUUAACAAAACGUCCCAGAUCGUCCCAGGGUUAAACACCAGUGUGAAAUGAAUGUUUCAGACCCACUCAGAGGAGGGGGUAGUUACAGACCAGAAGAUCUGAGGUGUUAUUCUGUUAACCUUUUUUCAAACCGCAUGUUAUGGCUGUAUUAAUAAUGAAUUCAAAGUCUAAUCUUAAGACUUUAAAUAAACAUUUUUUUUUUCCUUACAUUUCCUGUGGUUUUUUGCUUACAUUUCAACUAAAGUAUAAUUUAUUCCACA